UUUGGUGCUCAAUUGAACUUUACUAAACCACUAGACCAUAUCCUUGGGUCCAAAAACUGGUAACCUAUGUUCACCUAAUUAAGGGUGUGGCCUAGCAGUUGAUGAAGUGAGUGAGUAUCAUGAGAUCGCAGGUUUAAAUCUUAGUGGGGUAUAUAUGCAUUCACUCUUGUUCUACUUAUGCUAGCAGAGGUGAAUUAUCAAACUGAUCAUUUCUCCACACCGCAACUUGGGAUAGAUUUAUCAGCAUACUGAACCUAUAUUCUUAAUAUGUAUUUAUAAUAAUACUUGUGCUAAUUAAAUAUCGUCAUUUACAAUUGGGCUUUAAAUUAAACAAAAUUAUCUCUUACUGCCAUUCCAAUUUGGCAUUUUUGUCCGUUCGCCGCAUCCUGACACAAUUCGACAUCAUGCAAUAUAUUUAAUCUGUUGAAUCAAUUAUUUGGUCAUGGAGAAUGUAAUGUAACACAGCUCCAUGUUCUGC
rnacentral:lncRNA from 1 species